CUUCACUUCACCUCUUCUCGUCCCUUUUUUUUUCUUCUCUUUCUUCAUAUUUCACCACCGAACCCUAGAAUCAAAGCGGCCACCGUCACAGUCACGACUCGACCUUCAUUUCAGUCCAAUUUAUCCGCUGUCACGGUCACCAUCUCUGUUUUAUUUAGUUGAGUCGACAGUUUGCGAAUUCGAAUAAUUCGAAUUCGAUGCAGUCCUGGAACUGAUGAAACUGCUGAGCACUGAUAAAACUGUUGAGGAGUAGCAAACUAACUGCUGAGGAGUAGAAAAUAAUCGAAUUGGAUGCAGAUUCCUAACUUGAAGAAUCUGAUUUGGCACAAAAUAAUCUUAGUGGUGAAAUUCCAAGGCUUAUAUACUGGAAUGAACUUUUGCAGUAUCUGUCAUUGCAAGGAAAUAAACUUUCUGGACACAUUCCAUCAGUGAUUGGUCUCAUGCAAGCACUUGCUGUGUUGUAAGCACUUUUGUUAGUAGACUUUGAAAUAUAUUUCAUAAUAUUUGGCCAUUGAUUUUAUUUUUCAGUUUGAGCUGUUUUUAAUCCUUUUUCUCCCUCAUGAAACAAUUUAUUAAUUGCAUGCUGAUUUGUGUUUGAUUUGGGCUGUUUUGUGACUUUUUUUUUUAAGUAGCCAAUUGUUCCAAUGACUUGUUGCAAUGUGUCUAUGUAAUAGU